AUUGAACGCUGGCGGCAGGCCUAACACAUGCAAGUCGAGCGAGCGGCGGACGGGUUAGUAAUGUAUGGGGACUGCCCGAUAGAGGGGGAUAACUACUGGAAACGGUAGCUAAUACCGCAUACUAUCGGAUAACCCAUAUGGGAGUAGCUAUUAGGUGAGGUAAUGGCUCACCUAGGCGACGAUCCCUAGCUGGUCUGAGCUGAUGAUCAGCCCCACUGGGAAUUAGACACGGCCCAGAUUCCAAGGGAGGCAGCAGUGGGGAAUUUUGGACAAUGGUGGAAACCCUGAUCCAGCCAUCCCGCGUGUAUGAUGAAGGCCUUCGGGUGGGAAAGUACUUUUGGCAGAGAAGCGGUAUCUGCAGAAUAAGCACCGGCUAACUCCGUGCCAGCAGCCGCGGUAAGUC
rnacentral:rRNA from 1 species